GAACGGGUGAGUAACGCGUAGGAAUCUGCCUGAUAGUGGGGGAUAGCCCGGGGAAACCCGGAUUAAUACCGCAUACGCCCUACGGGGGAAAGCAGGGGAUCUUCGGACCUUGCGCUAUCAGAUGAGCCUGCGUCGGAUUAGCUAGUUGGUAGGGUAAAGGCCUACCAAGGCGACGAUCCGUAGCUGGUCUGAGAGGAUGAUCAGCCACACUGGAACUGAGACACGGUCCAGACUCC
rnacentral:rRNA from 1 species